rnacentral:sRNA from 1 species
CUUACUGCAUCCUCCUCAACAGAUGGAGAGACCAGUUGUGGAAUAUAUUUUCUACCUGAAAAGUACUCUCUUUUGUGAGGCUUAGAGUGCCAGUGCACUGGCUGCUUUCCAAGACCUUGUACCCAUUCCUAGCAUAACUUACUAUUAGCCCAAGCCAAAGUAGGGUGUGGUAAAUAGUCUAUGCUUCAUUCUGCUGGUGCUCCUACCCAGCAGUCAAGUAAAGCUUAUCUUUGCUGCCCAUGCAUUGCUGGAAGCUCCAGAUGUCCAUCAUCGUGUGCUUUCUCUCUUCCCCAGCUGUGAGACUGAGGUUCUAUUUAUUUGCUUGUUUUUGUUGUUAUUGUUGGUUUUGGUGGCGACAGUGGUGUAUUAUUUUGUUUUUCCUAACAACACCAGUAAGAAGGGCACAUUUUCCUCAUUUAAAAAGUCAACUAAGAUAGAAAAAGCUAGAGUAUCCCUUAAUACUACUCCCAAUUUAAGAAUUUUGUUUUUAGAAUUCAUUCUAUCAGAAUAGGAGAAUUUUCAAAGCCUUUCCUGAGUGUGAUGCUGGGAACCAGCUGGAUUGUGAUGGAAUUUCUAAAUUCAAGUGUCUACUAUGGGAGAUACAGCUGUUCACUAGUAAGGGAAAGGGAUAGAGUUCUUUGAAUGGGGAUUCUUAAGAGAUUUUUCCAUCGUAAAAUAGAAGUGACCUUGUGGAAUUUUAAUCCAGAAUACAGGAUAGAUUGUAUGGGAAUCUACAAUACAGGAUAGAUUGAGGGGAUGGUUAAAUUUGGGAGCAGGUGGAGAACAGAAAGAGCUAGUUAAAUGAGCCAUACAAAUUCAUUUCCCCCACUGAUUUGUUUCACUUUUGUGGUUCUUUUUAGACUGGACUAUUCAGGGAUUGCUCUUCUAAUUAUGGGGAGCUUUGUCCCCUGGCUCUAUUAUUCCUUCUACUGCUCCCCACAGCCACGGCUCAUCUACCUCUCCAUCGUCUGUGUCCUGGGCAUUUCUGCCAUCAUUGUGGCGCAGUGGGACCGGUUUGCCACUCCUAAGCACCGGCAGACAAGAGCAGGCGUGUUCCUGGGACUUGGCUUGAGUGGCGUCGUGCCCACCAUGCACUUUACUAUCGCUGAGGGCUUUGUCAAGGCCACCACAGUGGGCCAGAUGGGCUGGUUCUUCCUCAUGGCUGUGAUGUACAUCACUGGAGCUGGCCUUUAUGCUGCUCGAAUUCCUGAGCGCUUCUUUCCUGGAAAAUUUGACAUAUGGUUCCAGUCUCAUCAGAUUUUCCAUGUCCUGGUGGUGGCAGCAGCCUUUGUCCACUUCUAUGGGGUCUCCAACCUUCAGGAAUUCCGUUACGGCCUAGAAGGCGGCUGUACUGAUGACACCCUUCUCUGAGCCUUCCCGCCUGCGGGGUGGAGGAGGAACUUCCCAAGUGCUUUUAAAAAUAACUUCUUUGCUGAAGUGAGAGGAAGAGUCUGAGUUGUCUGUUUCUAGAAGAAACCUCUUAGAGAAUUCAGUACCAACCAAGCUUCAGCCCACUUUCACACCCACUGGGCAAUAAACUUUCCAUUUUCAUUCUCCUAGCUGGGGAUGGGGCAUGGUCAAACUUAGCCAUCCCCUCCUCAGCAGUUACCCUCCUCAGCAAGGCAUCUACCGGCCCCUCACAGAGACAGUACUUUGAAACUCGUGGAGAUUUUACCCUCUCCUGCAACCAUUUUGGGAAAAUUAUGGACUGGGACUCUUCAGAAAUUCUGUCUUUUCUUCUGGAAGAAAAUGUCCCUCCCUUACCUCCAUCCUUAACUUUGUAUCCUGGCUUAUAACAGGCCAUCCAUUUUUGUAGCACACUUUUCAAAAACAAUUGUAUACCCUGGUCCCAUCUUUCUAGGGCCUGGAUCUGCUUAUAGAGCAGGAAGAAUAAAGCCACCAACUUUUACCUAGCCCGGCUAAUCAUGGAAGUGUGUCCAGGCUUCAAGUAACUUGAGUUUUAAUUUUUUUUUUUUUUUCUUGGCAGAGUAAUGUAAAAUUUAAAUGGGGAAAGAUAUUUAAUAUUUAAUACUAAGCUUUAAAAAGAAACCUGCUAUCAUUGCUAUGUAUCUUGAUGCAAAGACUAUGAUGUUAAUAAAAGAAAGUACAGAAGACACUUGGCAUUCAAAGAUUUC